rnacentral:rRNA from 1 species
AACGAACGCUGGCGGCAUGCCUAACACAUGCAAGUCGAACGAGACCUUCGGGUCUAGUGGCGCACGGGUGCGUAACGCGUGGGAAUCUGCCCUUCGGUUGGGAAUAACUGAGAGAAAUUUCAGCUAAUACCUUAUAAUGUCUUCGGACCAAAGAUUUAUCGCCGAGGGAUGAGCCCGCGUAGGAUUAGGUAGUUGGUGGGGUAAUGGCCUACCAAGCCGACGAUCCUUAGCUGGUCUGAGAGGAUGAUCAGCCACACUGGGACUGAGACACGGCCCAGAAUCCUACGGGAGGGAGCAGUGGGGAAUAAUGGAAAAUGGGCGAAAGCCUGAUCCAGCAAUGCCGCGUGAGUGAUGAAGGACUUAGGGUUGUAAAGCUCUUUUAACCGGGAUGAUAAUGACAGUACCGGGAGAAUAAGCUCCGGCUAACUCCGUG